rnacentral:rRNA from 1 species
UACGUAGGGGGCAAGCGUUGUCCGGAAUUAUUGGGCGUAAAGAGCGUGUAGGCGGCCAGGUAGGUCUGCUGUGAAAACUCGAGGCUCAACCUCGAGAUGUCGAUGGAAACCGUCUGGCUAGAGUCCGGAAGAGGAGUGUGGAAUUCCUGGUGUAGCGGUGACAUGCGCAGAUAUCAGGAAGAACACCUAUGGCGAAGGCAGCACUCUGGGACGGUACUGACGCUGAGACGCGAAAGCGUGGGGAGCGAACAGG